rnacentral:rRNA from 1 species
UACGUAGGGCGCAAGCGUUAUCCGGAAUUAUUGGGCGUAAAGAGCUCGUAGGCGGUUUGUCGCGUCUGCCGUGAAAGUCCGGGCUCAACUCCGGAUCUGCGGUGGGUACGGGCAGACUAGAGUGAUGUAGGGGAGACUGGAAUUCCUGGUGUAGCGGUGAAAUGCGUAGAUAUCUGGAGGAACACCGGUGGCGAAGGCGGCAUCCUGGACCAACACUGACGCUGAGGAGCGAAAGCCAGGGGAGCAAACGGG